GCCAAUCAUGUAAGUGCACAUUUCAUCUGAAAAUAUAUAUAAAAAAAAAUGUGUGCAUCUUAGUAUCUGGCUUAAUGAGUUUCUCCAUGAAAUCCAUUAUCAUUAAUGGGGACAUUGUGGACAAAUUAAAAGUUACAAUAGAAAGCAUUUCAUAAAAUCGCUAGGCCAAACUUAUACCAGCAAUUCUGAAAACUUCACUAUCUUAAUGGCCCUACAUAUGAUAAUUUGGUUUCCUUCAAAUGAUAAAAA
rnacentral:misc_RNA from 1 species